UACGGGGGGGGCAAGCGUUGUUCGGAAUUACUGGGCGUAAAGGGCUGGUAGGCGGCCAACUAAGUCGGAUGUGAAAUCCCCAGGCUUAACCUGGGAACUGCAUCCGAUACUGGUCGGCUUGAAUCCGGGAGAGGGAUGCGGAAUUCCAGGUGUAGCGGUGAAAUGCGUAGAUAUCUGGAGGAACACCGGUGGCGAAGGCGGCAGCCUGGACCGGCAUUGACGCUGAGGCGCGAAAGCUAGGGGAGCAAACGGG
rnacentral:rRNA from 1 species